AUUGAACGCUGGCGGCAUGCCUUACACAUGCAAGUCGAACGGUAACGGGCCUUCGGGUGCCGACGAGUGGCGAACGGGUGAGUAAUACAUCGGAACGUGCCCGAUCGUGGGGGAUAACGAGGCGAAAGCUUUGCUAAUACCGCAUACGAUCUACGGAUGAAAGCAGGGGACCGCAAGGCCUUGCGCGGACGGAGCGGCCGAUGGCAGAUUAGGUAGUUGGUGGGAUAAAAGCUUACCAAGCCGACGAUCUGUAGCUGGUCUGAGAGGAUGAUCAGCCACACUGGGACUGGGACACGGCCCAGACUCCUACGGGAGGCAGCAGUGGGGAAUUUUGGACAAUGGGCGCAAGCCUGAUCCAGCCAUGCCGCGUGCAGGAUGAAGGCCUUCGGGUUGUAAACUGCUUUUGUACGGAACGAAAAGCCUUCUUUUAAUACAGGGGGGUCAUGACGGUACCGUAAGAAUAAGCACCGGCUAACUACGUG
rnacentral:rRNA from 1 species